CAGUCGCCGCGGUAAUACGAGGGGGGCAAGCGUUGUUCGGAAUUAUUGGGCGUAAAGGGUGCGUAGGCGGUUUGGCAAGUUUGGUGUGAAAUCUUCGGGCUCAACUCGAAGUCUGCAUCGAAAACUGCCGGGCUUGAGUAUGGGAGAGGUGAGUGGAAUUUCCGGUGUAGCGGUGAAAUGCGUAGAUAUCGGAAGGAACACCUGUGGCGAAAGCGGCUCACUGGACCAUAACUGACGCUGAUGCACGAAAGCUAGGGGAGCAAACAGGAUUAGAGACCCGAGUAGUCCCUGUCUCUUAUAA
rnacentral:rRNA from 1 species